GGAAUAUUGGACAAUGGGCGCAAGCCUGAUCCAGCCAUGCCGCGUGAGUGAUGAAGGCCUUAGGGUUGUAAAGCUCUUUUGUCCGGGACGAUAAUGACGGUACCGGAAGAAUAAGCCCCGGCUAACUUCGUGCCAGCAGCCGCGGUAAUACGAAGGGGGCUAGCGUUGCUCGGAAUCACUGGGCGUAAAGGGCGCGUAGGCGGCCAUUCAAGUCGGGGGUGAAAGCCUGUGGCUCAACCACAGAAUUGCCUUCGAUACUGUUUGGCUUGAGUUUGGUAGAGGUUGGUGGAACUGCGAGUGUAGAGGUGAAAUUCGUAGAUAUUCGCAAGAACACCAGUGGCGAAGGCGGCCAACUGGACCAAUACUGACGCUGAGGCGCGAAAGCGUGGGGAGCAAACAGGAUUAGAUACCCGAG
rnacentral:rRNA from 1 species